rnacentral:rRNA from 1 species
CCCUUAGAUGUUCUGGGCCGCACGCGCGCCACACUGAUGCAUUCAACGAGCCUAUCCUUGACCGACAGGUCCGGGUAAUCUUUGAAUCUGCAUCGUGACGGGGAUAGAUUAUUGCAAUUAUUAGUCUUGAACGAGGAAUUCCUAGUAAGCACAAGUCAUCAGCUUGUGUUGAUUACGUCCCUGCCCUUUGUACACACCGCCCGUCGCUCCUACCGAUUGAAUGUUCCGGUGAGCUCUUCGGACUGCGCGGUCUGCAGUUUCUGCGUUCCGUGCGGAAAGUUGCGCAAACCUUAACAUUUAGAGGAAGGAGAAGUCGUAACA